UCGAACGGUAACAGGCCGCAAGGUGCUGACGAGUGGCGAACGGGUGAGUAAUGCAUCGGGAACGUGCCCAGUCGUGGGGGAUAACGCAGCGAAAGCUGCGCUAACACCGCAUACGAUCUGUGGAUGAAAGCGGGGGACCUUCGGGCCUCGCGCGAUCGGAGCGGCCGAUGUCAGAUUAGGUAGUUGGUGGGGUAAAGGCUCACCAAGCCGACGAUCUGUAGCUGGUCUGAGAGGACGACCAGCCACACUGGGACUGAGACACGGCCCAGACUCCUACGGGAGGCAGCAGUGGGGAAUUUUGGACAAUGGGGGCAACCCUGAUCCAGCAAUGCCGCGUGCAGGAAGAAGGCCUUCGGGUUGUAAACUGCUUUUGUACGGAACGAAAUGGCUCUGGUUAAUACCUGGGGCUCAUGACGGUACCGUAAGAAUAAGCACCGGCUAACUACGUGCCAGCAGCAGCAAUAAAACAUAGGGUGCGAGCGUAAUCGGAAUUACUGGCGUAAGCGGGCGCAGGCGGUGCUGUAAGACAGGCGUGAAUCCCCGGGCUUAACUGGAAAUGGCGCUGUGACUGCAGUGCUGGAGUGUGGCAGAGGGGGAUGGAAUUCCGCGUGUAGCAGUGAAAUGCGUAGAUAUGCGGAGGAACACCGAUGGCGAAGGCAAUCCCCUGGGCCUGCACUGACGCUCAUGCACGAAAGCGUGGGGAGCAAACAGGAUUAGAUACCCUGGUAGUCCACGCCCUAAACGAUGUCAACUGGUUGUUGGGUCUUUUCUGACUCAGUAACGAAGCUAACGCGUGAAGUUGACCGCCUGGGGAGUACGGCCGCAAGUUGAAACUCAAAGGAUUGACGGGGACCCGCACAAGCGGUGGAUGAUGUGCUUUAUUCGAUGCAACGCGAAAACCGUACCCACCUUUGACAUGUACGGAAAAGACCAGAGAUGGCUUCGUGCUCGAAAGAGAGCCGUAACACAGGUGCUGCAUGGCUGUCGUCAGCUGGUGUCGUGAGAUGUUGGGUUAAGUCCUGCCACGAGCCCCCCCCUUGUCCUCCCUUGCUACGAAAGGGCACUCUAAUGAGACUGCCGGUGACAAACAGGAGGAAGCUGGCGAUGAGGUCAAGUCCCCAUGGCCCUUAUACCUGGGGAUACACACGUCAUACAAUGGCCGGUACAAAGGGCAGCCAACCCGCGAGGGGGAGCCAAUCCCAUAAAGCCGGUCGUAGUCCGGAUCGCGGUCCGCAACUCGACUGCGUGAAGUCGGACCCGCUAGUAAUUGAGGAUCAGCAUGUCACGGUGAAUACCUUCCCGGGUUUUGCACACACCCCCCCUCACACCAUGGGAGCGGCUCUCGCCAGAAGUAGGUAGCCUAACCGCAAGGAG
rnacentral:rRNA from 1 species